rnacentral:rRNA from 1 species
GACGAACGCUGGCGGCGUGCCUAAUACAUGCAAGUAGAACGCUGAAGAGAGGAGCUUGCUCUUCUUGGAUGAGUUGCGAACGGGUGAGUAACGCGUAGGUAACCUGCCUUGUAGCGGGGGAUAACUAUUGGAAACGAUAGCUAAUACCGCAUAACAAUGGAUGACACAUGUCAUUUAUUUGAAAGGGGCAAUUGCUCCACUACAAGAUGGACCUGCGUUGUAUUAGCUAGUAGGUGAGGUAAUGGCUCACCUAGGCGACGAUACAUAGCCGACCUGAGAGGGUGAUCGGCCACACUGGGACUGAGACACGGCCCAGACUCCUACGGGAGGCAGCAGUAGGGAAUCCUCGGCAAUGGGGGCAACCCUGACCGAGCAACGCCGCGUGAGUGAAGAAGGUUUUCGGAUCGUAAAGCUCGGUUGUAAGUCAAGAACGGGUGUGAGAGUGGAAAGUUCACACUGUGACGGUAGCUUACCAGAAAGGGACGGCUAACUACGUG